UUUUUCAAGUCUUGUUUCAAAAGUCCAGAAGGAGCGAUGAAUCCCUAAUUAUAUUGUCUUUUUUAUUCAUAAAUUGCCAAGGUGGAGUACGGUAAGGAUAGAAGGAAUUUCAUAUGGAGCGGUGAAAUGCGUAGAGAUUGAAAAGAACACCAACGGUGAAAGCACUCUACUAGGCUAACAUUAAGAGACAAAAACUAGAGGAACGAAUGGGAUUAGAUACCCCAGUAGUCAUAACCAUUAACGAUAGUUACUGAGUGUUGUGCGUAUCAACCCGUGUAGUGUUGUAGCUAACACGUUUUGCCUAGGGAGUACGUUCGCAAGAAUGAAACUUAUAGGAAUUGACAAGGGGCGCACAAGUGGUGGAGCAUGUGGUUCAAUUCGAUGCAAAGUAAAGAACCUUAUUAGGGCUUAACAUGCGGUGAAUCCUUUUGAAAUAGAAGGGUGCCUUCAGGAACGUGGAUACUGGUGGUGCAUGGACGUCGUUAGCUCGUGAUAUAAGGUGUUAGGUUAAGUCCCGCAAUGAGUGCAACCCUCGUGUUUAGUUUCCAUCGUUGAGUUUAGAACCAUGAGUAGAUUGUUGGUUAUAAGUCGAAGGAAGGUGAGGAUGACAUCAAGUCAUCAUGCCUUUUAUGCCUUGGGCGCACAUAUGCUACAAUGAUCAAGACAAAGAGUCGUGAUCCCACAAAGUUAAGCUAACUCUAAAAUCUUGUUCUCAAUUCAAAUUACAGGCUGCAACUCGCUUGCAUGAAACCAGAAUCUCUAGUAAUUUCCGAUCAAUCAUACGGUAGUGAAUUCAUUCCUGAGCCACACAUUGGUCGUCACACUAAGGAAAGUUGGCUUAUAGCAAUUAUAUUACAUAUACCUAGUUUGAUCCCACUUUUC
rnacentral:ncRNA from 1 species